CUGUUACUCAAGGUUUUCCAAAUUUGUGCUGCAGUGUGCAUAGCUUCCACCACUUUACUAACCGAUGGUGACAUGGAUGCCAGUAACCAUGCCACUAUGGUAGAGUUUGUUGUAUGCCAAACUCUCCAUUCAGAGCUAAGCUUGUUAGCCGGCUCAACACAAUCCUCCUUCAAAUAAUUCUCUACCCCUUUUCCUCCUAAUAUCACUUGCACUCUUCUAGACCAGCUCAAAUAGUUCCUACUUCCCUCCAACUUCACAUCAUUUGGAAUGAGUUCCAAUUUAAGUCCACGUACCUCUCUAGGACCAAUCAAAUUCAUCUCUACGAGUCCCUGAAUCAUCAACUUUAUCUCCUCUUUCAACUCAGCCUUAGUAACUAGCGGAUCACCUCCACUAUUACCCUCACCAUCUCCUGGCUUCCCUAACUCUUUUCCUGUAUCCAUCUUACUCCCCAAAUCAGCUUCACCACAAGCAAGUCCAAAUCACCUCAAUACGUACGAGUGGCAAAUGCCUCCACUUUUACUCACAGAGCAGCCCACCAAUCUCCUUUUCUUUUUUUUUCUUUUUUUUUCUUUUUUUUUUUGCAACAGCAACUACCUUUUUCUCUCUGGAGACCGCAAGCGCUGCUCCUCACGCCGUGCAGCACGCGCACGCCCGCACGCGCCGCCGGCUCUGCUCCCUGCGCGGAUGCGCCCUGCUGGCCGUUGCUGCCGGUGACGACGCGCACGCCCGCACGCGCCACUGGCCCUGGCCCGCACGCGCCGCCGGCUCUGCUCCCUGCACAGCUGCGCCCUGCUGGCUGCUGCUGCCGAUGGCCACGCAGCACACGCGUCGCCUACACAGGGAAGCUGCCGCCCUUGUGAGUCGCCGCAGGACGCGCCUCCUGCACGCCCGCGUCACCUCCGCGUGACCGCACCGGCCCGCGCGGCCGCGUCCACCUCAGCACAACGUCGCCGGCCCGCGCCAACCUGCUCCGUCUCCAGCUCGCGACUACACACUCAAACGACCGCACCACCUCCGCUGCAUGUUACAGGUAACAACCAUAGGCAUCCAAGGUUCAGAGAGUGUUAUUCAUCGUUGAGAUUUGCCAGUGAGCUCAACAAGCAGCAAACUUCGCAGCCCUUGGAGAAUGGUGGGAGCAUACCCUGAGUUCAAUCCACAAAGAAGGUUCCAUGGGGAAAGCCUCGCUUACGCUUUCUUAAUUUUAUUAUCGCAGCAGUGGCUUGCGAAAAACAUUGUUAACAAGGUUGACAAAUCAGCUAUGCUAAAUAGCGGUAGCAUGCUAAAUAGGGAAAUUGAUGAGUGUUUUUA